rnacentral:tRNA from 1 species
GAUUGGCUAGCCAAGUGGUUAGGCGCACGGUUGCAGCCCGUGUCACGGCGGUUCGAAUCCGUCACCAGUCUC